rnacentral:rRNA from 1 species
GACGAACGCUGGCGGCGUGCCUAAUACAUGCAAGUCGAACGCAGUGGGGACGGGUGAGUAACACGUGGGUAACCUCCCCAGAUGAGGGGCUAACACUUGGCAACAGGUGCUAAACCGAUACUGGAGGAUGGACCCGCGGGGCAUUAGCUAGUUGGUGGGGUAACGGCUCACCAAGGCCACGAUGCAUAGCCGACCUGAGAGGGUGAGCGGCCACACUGGGACUGAGACACGGCCCAGACUCCUACGGGAGGCAGCAGUAGGGAAUCUUCGGCAAUGGGCGAAACUCUGAUCGAGCAACCCCGCGUGAGUGAAGAAGGGUUUCGGAUCGUAAAACUCUGUUGUUAGAGAAGCGGUAUCUAACCAGAAAGCCACGGCUAACUACGUGCCAGCCGCCGCGGUAAUUC